ensembl:lncRNA
CCCUAAGAUUUAAAAAGGUAUAUUUCUAAAUUACUUUUCUCUUUUAUAGGUGAAAGCUUUCGUUUCUUUUAAUGUUUAAUUUGGCUGUAGUGUUUGUUGUGCAAACAAGUAGGCAAGCUGUGUAGAACAACCACUAGAAAGUCAAAAGCAUGAAUUUCAAAACAAAGUUUACUUAUGAAAAUGUUAUACACUUUUCCAUUUGAAAAGGCUCAUUAGUCCUUUAUGAAUGUUAUUUAUUUAUUUAUUUUCUGUUUUAAUAAAUGCACUUUAUGGGAUUGUUAUUCAUUAGACAAAAGCAAAAAUUCAGGAGGAGUCCUUAAAUCUUGAUGCAAUAAAGACAGACUUGGCAGUAACACAUGACACGCUUAUAGAUUGGACCAAUGAAAUCCAGCAAUGGGCUGAUACAGCAACAAGUGAGGAGAACACAGACAGUCAGCAGGUGCUCCAGAAGACUAUUGAGACGCUUUAUGUGAGCAUCAGGCAGAGAAAGCAAGAUCUUUACCGUCAAUCAGAUGGGAACAAGAGAAGACACAAACUCCGAAGAAAGAUUUUGGAAGAAAAAGCCAAAUUUUGUGCAGCUGUAGAUGACUACAACAGGGCAGCAACUGAAAAACUGCAGUCAGCUGAUACAAUACUGGCAUCUGAGAGCUAUGCAUGGCCAUGGGUCCUUGAUGAACGUGAUAAUCUUGCAACCAAAAAAAAGGCCUUUGACCAACUGAUGCUGCUGAACCGGCUUACUGAAGAGGAGUGCAUUGUUCUGAAAGAAAUCCGGAAUCACUGGAAAAGCCUUACAAGGGAGCAUUCUCUUCUAAAUGAUCUUUUAAGUCAUGUUGCUGUUGAGAUAAAAGAGAACAGUAAGCAUUACAUACUUUUUUGUUUAUCUUGUUUAGACAAUAUUAACAAUAACAACAACAAUAAUAAUAUCAUGCUUUUUAACUGAACCU